UCAUAAUACAUAAUUUAAACUCUAAAGUUUACUGCUGCUGUAAAUUGAGUUUUUGUAAUUCUGGAGAAUAAGUCGUCCAAAUAACCUAUGAAAGUACGUGGUGGUUCCUGCCUAGAAAAUUCAGAUGGAAUGGUAGCUUUCACACCAAACACCAGUUCGUGUGGGGUGAACCCAGUGGCUUCAUGUACUGAGGUAAUCUAUGAAAACACGAUGUGCCCGUUCUAAUGAGCCUAAUGACUGCGGAUGGAACGCAGUGGAGGUUAUUUUCUGUAUUUUGA